CUCCACCCAGACCCUUCGCACUUAGAACAGCUUACAACAGCCAGAGCACUUCUCAAAAGCCUCUCCUUAGCUGACACAGCCAAAGCCCUCACAUGGACUAAGCAAAAAUACUACGAGAAGGGCAAUAAGGCGGAUUCUAUGCUAGCAAAACGCCUUAAAAAUCUGACGGAAGCAAAACGAAUUUGCAAAAUUCGUACCCCAGAUGGGACAUUGAGCGACACCCCACACACAAUUGGAGAAUCUUUCCGACGAUACUUCACGUCCCUAUAUAACCAUACUACAGACCCACCUAGCGAUGCCAUCCAAACCCAAACGGACACCUUCCUAAGGCAGCUGUCCCUUCCCACCCUCACCGACGAAGCCAGAACCCUAAUCUCAGCCGAUAUCUCCCCGGAAGAACUAGGGGAAGCAAUUAAGACCCUGAAACCAAAUAAAAG